AUUGAACGCUGGCGGCAGGCCUAACACAUGCAAGUCGAACGAGUGGCGGACGGGUGAGUAAUGUCUGGGAAACUGCCUGAUGGAGGGGGAUCACUACUGGAAACGGUAGCUAAUACCGCAUACCAUCGGAUUUGCCCAGAUGGGAUUAGCUAGUAGGUGGGGUAACGGCUCACCUAGGCGACGAUCCCUAGCUGGUCUGAGCGGAUGCCCAGCACAACUGGAACUGAUACACGGUCCAGACUCCUACGGGAGGCAGCAGUGGGUAAUAUGGCACAAUGGGCGAAAGCCUGAUGCAGCCAUGCCGCGUGUAUUAAGAAGGCAUUCGGGUUGUAAAGUACUUUCAGCGGGGAGGCGUUACCCGCAGAAGAAGCACCGGCUAACUCCGUGCCAGCAGCCGCGGUAAUAC
rnacentral:rRNA from 1 species